CCAGCACAAGGAGAUGGCAUUCCUCCUUUAAGCUCCAACAAAACCGCCUGUCAGGCUGAUGAUGCCUACGGUUUU
rnacentral:ncRNA from 2 species